rnacentral:rRNA from 1 species
AAACCAACCGGGAUUGCCUCAGUAACGGCGAGUGAAGCGGCAAAAAGCUCAAAUUUGAAAUCUGGCACUUUCAGUGUCCGAGUUGUAAUUUGUAGAAGUAGUUUUGGGACUGGUCCUUAUCUAUGUUUCUUGGAACAGGACGUCAUAGAGGGUGAGAACCCCGUAUGAUGAGGCCCCCAGUCCUUUGUAAAACGCUUUCGAAGAGUCGAGUUGUUUGGGAAUGCAGCUCUAAGUGGGUGGUAAAUUCCAUCUAAAGCUAAAUAUUGGCGAGAGACCGAUAGCGAACAAGUACAGUGAUGGAAAGAUGAAAAGAACUUUGAAAAGAGAGUGAAAAAGUACGUGAAAUUGUUGAAAGGGAAGGGCAUUUGAUCAGACGUGGUGUUUUGCACCCUUUGCUCCUUGUGGGCGGAGGAUACGCAGCUCACUGGGCCAACAUCAGUUUUGGGAGCAGGAUAAAUCUGUAGGAACGUAGCUUUCUUCGGGAAGUGUUAUAGCCUAUGGGAAUACUGCUACCUGGGA